rnacentral:rRNA from 1 species
GAUGAAUGCUGGCGGCGUGCCUAAUACAUGCAAGUCGAGCGAACAGACGAGGAGCUUGCUCCUCUGACGUUAGCGGCGGACGGGUGAGUAACACGUGUAUAACCUACCUAUCAUUCUGGGAUAACUUCGGGAAACCGGAGCUAAUACCAGAUAAUAUAUUGAACCGUAUGGUUCAAUAGUGAAAUACGGUUUUGCUGUCACUUAUAGAUGGAUCCGCGCCGCAUUAGCUAGUUGGUAAGGUAACGGCUUACCAAGGCAACGAUGCGUAGCCGACCUGAGAGGGGGAUAGGCCACCCUGGAACUGAAACACGGUCAAGACUCCUACGGGAGGCAGCAGUAGGGAACCUGCCGCAAUGGGCGAAAGCCUUACGGAGCAACGCCGAGUGAGUGAUGACGGUCUUCGGAUCGUAAAACUGGGUUAUUAGGGAAGAACAAAUGUGUAAGUAACUAUGCACGUCUUGACGGUACCUAAUCAGAAAGCAACGGCUAACUACGUG